GCUGGGUUAGGAGGCUGCAAGAGUACAUAGUUUCACCUUCGCCAACUGCACCCUCAGUAUACUCACAGCCUAGUAUCAGCAUUAUCUUCUAAAUGUUGAGUUGGAGAUAUUUAUGUGGAAGUACUCAGCAAUAAGGAAAAAACAAAUAUUUCCUAAAAUACAACAGUGAAGAGGAGUCUUCGAUGCCAGCGUGUCAGCCAAGGUUACUGUCGCCGCGUUCUGUUUGUUGGCUUUGAUUAGUCCUUAACGAGAUGAGAACACACUCCAGUAGUUGACCGUUACGAGGCUUCACGUACUCUACCUCCUUGAUCCCAGAACGAACAUAAGGAAUGGUCUACCAGCUCAAGGUGUGGUGGAGUCAAGAACAGUACGGGCUUCAAAAUAACCCGAGACAAGAUCAUCAAGAACAAUGAAGGGAUCCUACACAAGCCACUGACAUUCCCUCGGCGUGGCCAACUCUAGUGGGCAGCCAUUAGGUAAAAAGGUAAAAAAAAUAUUUUUCCGUCAUAUUAACGAACAUUAGGGGCACAUCGUCUACUCGGGUUCUUAACGGAAAUGUUCUUCAUAUAACCUAACCUAACCAUUAAGCACUGCCAGUAACUUCUAGUCUUACCUAAGUUUAUUUCAUUCUUAAGAGUGUCUGUCAAUUCAGACCGUGUUGUUACUGGGAAUAAUUAUCCUCAACUUGACUCCUAAUAAUAGUGGCCCAAAUGGAUAAUUAGCGACUCUUCAUUUGGACUAAACUAAUACAGUAACAUUUA